AAAACAUGAUUCAAUUUAGGCGAGGACUUCUCCAAAAGAUAUGGAGGUAGAGGGGUUCUACAGGGUCGUCCUCAGAACACAUGAUUCUGGCUCUGUUGUUCAGAAACAAAACAAGCAUUACAAUCAUGUGUUCUCAGGUCGCCCCUGCUGGACUUUCCUCUACCAUGCAUUGGCCACCAAAAGUAGAAUCUGCUAUUUCAGUUACAUGAAUAUGAUUCAGCUCUUCUUCAGUAACUCUCUUCCAAACUCCAUCUACCAAGAGGCAUCUAUUGUCCCUUUCCGGUGGAAGUUCAUCGUUUAAUUCACCAAAUUCAUUGGUCUCCCUUAUCUUCUUGACGGCUGAAUUAUCAAGUAGCUCAAGGUCUAAAGUGGCGUCUCUCUUGGCACCAUGUGGCAUCUCUUUCCUUUCUGAUACUUGAUUCUGUUUUACAUUAUCAAUAAUGUUCUGUUUUACGUUAUCAAUAAUGUCAAGAACAGGAAGACAACCAGAUGAACCAACAGCACGAGGCAACAUGCCGAUCGGACAUGGGUUCCAUGACUCUGUCAAAGUCCAAACCUUUGGCUUUUUGGUCUCACAAUUCAGUGUCGUUGGUUUUUUAUUUUUCAUGAUCUGUUGUUUAACUAACUCUAGCUUUUUAGCUGCUUCACGAAUGGAUUCCUCAAAUUGGAACA